rnacentral:rRNA from 1 species
GGGGAAUUUUCCGCAAUGGGGGAAACCCUGACCGAGCAACGCCGCGUGCAGGAAGACGGCCUUCGGGUUGUAAACUGCUUUUCUCUGGGAAGAGCUUUGGACGGUACCAGAGGAAGAAGCCCCGGCUAACUACGUGCCAGCAGCCGCGGUAAUACGUAGGGGGCGAGCGUUGUCCGGAGUUACUGGGCGUAAAGCGCCCGCAGGCGGUCGGGCAAGAGUAGGGUGACAGGUCACGGCUUAACCGUGGCAGUGCCUUGCAGACUGUCGGACUUGAGGGCCAGAGAGGGACAGGGAACUCCAGGUGUAGUGGUGAAAUGCGUAGAUAUCUGGAAGAACACCAAUGGCGAAGGCACUGUCCUGGGUGGUACCUGACGCUGAGGGGCGAAAGCUAGGGGAGCGAAAGGGAUUAGAUACCCCUGUAGUCA